rnacentral:pre_miRNA from 1 species
UAUUAAAAAUUUUAUCUAUUUCUAUUAUUAAAAAUUGACAAAUAGUGACACGUGUCACGUGUAACUCAUGCUGACGUAAGAUCCGUUUUUAACCGUAGAAAUGGAUGGAAUUUUUAACA